ACACAGGGAUCCCGCAUGGGAAUAUUUGUUAAAGAAUUAUCGGUAGUAGCUGGGCAUGCGUUCCAUUAGGCAGUUGGUAAGGUAACGGCUUACCAAACCUACGAUGGAUAGGGGAACUGAGAGGUUUAUCCCCCACACUGGAACUGAGACACGGACCAGACUCCUACGGGAGGCAGCAGUGAGGAAUAUUGGUCAAUGGGCGAGAGCCUGAACCAGCCAAGUCGCGUGAAGGAAGACGGUCCUACGGAUUGUAAACUUCUUUUACAGGAGAGUAAAAAGCGGUACGCGUACCGCCUUGCAAGUACCCUGUGAAUAAGCAUCGGCUAACUCCGUGCCAGCAGCCGCGGUAAUACGGAGGAUGCGAGCGUUAUCCGGAUUUAUUGGGUUUAAAGGGUGCGCAGGCGGGACUAUAAGUCAGUGGUGAAAUCUCGACGCUCAACGUCGAACCUGCCAUUGAAACUGUAGCCCUUGAAUAUGGAUGAAGUAGGCGGAACUCGUCGUGUAGCGGUGAAAUGCAUAGAUAUAACGAAGAACACCAAUUGCGUAGGCAGCUUACUAAACCAUUAUUGACGCUCAGGCACGAAAGCGUGGGGUAUCAAACAGGAUUAGAUACCCU
rnacentral:rRNA from 1 species